rnacentral:rRNA from 1 species
GACGAACGCUGUCGGCGUGCUUAACACAUGCAAGUCGAACGAAGUGGCGAACGGGUGAGUAACGCGUAAUCAACCUGCCCUUCAGAGGGGGACAACAGUUGUAAACGACUGCUAAUACCGCAUACUGAAGGAGGGGAAUGCGUCUGAUUAGAUAGUUGGAGGGGUAACGGCCCACCAAGGCGAUGAUCAGUAGCCGGGCUGAGAGGAUGAGCGGCCAAAUUGGGACUGUGACACGGCCCAGACUCCUACGGGAGGCAGCAGUGGGGAAUCUUCCGAAAUGGACGAAAGUCUGACGGAGCAACGCCGCGUGAGUGAUGACGGCGUUCGGGUUGUAAAGCUCUGUUAAUCGGGACGCGGCACCGGAAUAGAAAGCCACGGCUAACUACGUGCCAGCAGCCGCGGUAAUUC